CUGCAAUUCAAUUGCACCAUUCAAGAUAAACCAAUGUCAAAGAAUACACAUAAAAACAUGUAUGCAUGCGCAUGCGCAUGCAUAUGCAUAUGAAAAUAAAAAUAAAAAUAAAAAUCAAUAGAGCACAACAAGUACAUCACAAAAAGAACUCAAAACUUAUCGCAAGACAACUUUUUUUAGGCAAUUAUAGCAACACAACUUAAUGAUCAAUGAUCUUGCAUUUUAACUUUUCCUUUUGAUUCCCAGAAAAUCAAGGAAAUGGAGAUUUUUAUCCUUUUUCCCCCUUCAUUGCUAACAAGAAACCAGAAGAAAGUAGGAAAUGGAAUUUGAAAUCAGAGUUCCAUUUCAAUAGCUUAGCAGAAUGCAUUGUGCUGCUACCUUGGACAAGUUGGUUUGCUUUUUUAUCAUGAAAAUUAUAUACAAAAUGGCAAAGGAAAAAAAAGGGUUCUUCGCGAAAAAUUGUCAUAAAGAAACAAAGUAGCAGGGACAAUGCCCUAUUGGUUUCCAAUGAUCAUAAUGCAUGAUCACGUUAAGCUUUUGAGAGUAAAACAGACAAGCAUGAGCCAAGGGGGAAAAGGAGAAUAUUUCAUUCAUCCAUGAUGAACUAUUUUUUUCAUAAACAACUAGUUACUGCUGGUGCAAAAACAUCCUGCUGACGUCCAUAGGGGCGUACAUCUGCUACAAUUUAGGUACAGAGAUACAGCAUAUAAAUAAUGUUAGAAAGUCAAAUAAGACAAGUGAAGAAAGAAAAUCAUGGAAGUUGCAAGCACCUGAUA
rnacentral:misc_RNA from 1 species